rnacentral:rRNA from 1 species
AAAACAUUUCUUACAGAAAAUAAUUGUAAGUACCACCUGCUCAAUGACUUUUAAAUAGCCGCGGAAUUUUAACCGUGCUAAGGUAGCAUAAUCACUAGCCUUUUAAUUAGAGGCUCGUAUGAAAGGUGAAACAUUUCAUUUACUUUAUUUAAUAAUUUUUUUUAAUUUAAACUAAGAAUAAAAAUGUUCUUAUUAAAUAAAUAGACGAUAAGACCCUUUUGAACUUUACUGUUGUUUGGCUGGGGCAGCCCAAAAAUAAUAAUCUUUUUUUUAACCCAUUAAAUAAACGACCCAACAAAGUUGAAUACUGAACAAUGUUACCAUAGGGAUAACAGCGUAAUAUAUUUUUAAAGCUCUUAUUUGAAAAUAAGUUUGCGACCUCGAUGUUGAAUUAGUGUUUCUACCCGGUGCAAUAACUUUUAGAGUGGGUCUGUUCGACCUUUAAAACACUACAUGAUCU